rnacentral:rRNA from 1 species
AGUGAACGCUGGUGGCGUGCCUAAUACAUGCAAGUCGAACGAACGAAUAAGAGCUUGCUCUUCUAAGUUAGUGGCGCACGGGUGAGUAAUAUAUAGCUAAUCUGCCUCUUAGUAGAGGAUAACAGUCGGAAACGAUUGCUAAUACUCUAUACUUCUGCUUUACAUAAGUAAAGUAGAGAAAGUUUUUCGCUAAGAGAUGAGGCUAUACUGUAUCAGCUAGUUGGUAAGGUAACGGCUUACCAAGGCUAUGACGCAUAACUGGUCUGAGAGGAUGAUCAGUCACAUUGGAACUGAGACACGGUCCAAACUCCUACGGGAGGCAGCAGUAGGGAAUAUUGCGCAAUGGGGGAAACCCUGACGCAGCAACGCCGCGUGGAGGAUGACACUUUUCGGAGCGUAAACUCCUUUUAUCGGGAAAGAAUAAUGACGGUACCCGAUGAAUAAGCACCGGCUAACUCCGUG